CGUGUAGGCGGUUCGGUAAGUUGGAUGUGAAAUCUCCUGGCUCAACUGGGAGAGGUCGUUCAAUACUGUCGGACUUGAGGACGGUAGAGGGAGGUGGAAUUCCCGGUGUAGUGGUGAAAUGCGUAGAUAUCGGGAGGAACACCAGUGGCGAAGGCGGCCUCCUGGACCGUACCUGACGCUCAGACGCGAAAGCUAGGGGAGCGAACG
rnacentral:rRNA from 1 species